rnacentral:misc_RNA from 1 species
AUUGCCACUUCCAAUCCUUGUAAGAUCGCCAGAGCCAGGUCUCAGAUCUCUUCCAGUGCUUGUUCGGUUAAGUUGGUUGAUUCUCCUCUUCACAAUGCUAGGUUUACCUCUAUAGUAAAAACCUGUCAAAUCAAGUGCUUCACUUGCCACAGCACCCAAAACAGCCAAAACAUUGGCAGACUUGCUCUUUGCGAACUUAUG